AAACAUGUCUUUUUGAAAAUAAUUUAAAGUUUAAUCUGCCCACUGAUNAAAUUAUUAAAGGGCUGCAGUAUUUUGACUGUACAAAGGUAGCAUAAUCAUUAGUCUCUUAAUUGGUGACUUGUAUGAAAGAUUGAAUGAGAUAUAUACUGUCUCUAAUUAAUUUAUAAAAUUUAAUUUUUUAGUUAAAAAGCUAAAAUAAAUUUAAAAGACGAGAAGACCCUAUAGAGUUUAAUAAUUUAUUUAAUUAUUAUUAGUAUGUAAAUUUUAAAAUUAAAAUUAAUUAAAUUAUUUUGUUGGGGUGACAGAAAAAUUAAAUUAACUUUUUUUUUUAUUUAUACAUUAAUUUAUGAUUAAUUGAUCCAUUAAUAGUGAUUAAAAGAAAAAAUUACCUUAGGGAUAACAGCGUAAUUUUUUCUUUUAGUUCAAAUAAGAGAAAAAGUUUGCGACCUCGAUGUUGGAUUAAGAUAAAAUUUAAAUGCAAAAGUUUAAAAUUUUAAUCUGUUCGAUCAUUAAAAUCUUA
rnacentral:rRNA from 1 species